rnacentral:rRNA from 1 species
AAUCCUGUCUGAACAUGGGGGGACCACCCUCCAAGCCUAAGUACUCCUCAGCGACCGAUAGCGAACUAGUACCGUGAGGGAAAGGUGAAAAGCACCCCGACGAGGGGAGUGAAAGAGACCUGAAACCGAAUGCCUACAAACAGACGGAGCCCAAGGUUCGUCCUGGGUGACGUCGUACCUUUUGUAUAAUGGGCCAGCGACUUAAUUUGACGAGCAAGCUUAAGCCGAUAGGCGUAGGCGCAGCGAAAGCGAGUCUGAACAGGGCGUUCAGUUCGUCGGAUUAGACCCGAAACCUAGUGAUCUAGCCAUGGUCAGGUUGAAGGUGGGGUAACACCUACUGGAGGACCGAACCGGUGUCUGUUGAAAAAGACUCGGAUGAACUGUGGCUAGGGGUGAAAGGCCAACCAAACUGGGAAAUAGCUGGUUUUCCGCGAAAGCUAUUUAGGUAGCGCCUCGCGUGAAUGCUUUGGGGGGUAGAGCACUGGAUGGGCUAGGGGGACUUACCGUCUUACCAAACCCAACCAAACUCCGAAUACCCGAAAGCAAUGUGCGGGAGUCACACGGCGGGUGCUAACGUCCGUCGUGGAGAGGGAAACAACCCGGACCUACAGCUAAGGCCCCUAAUUCGUGGCUAAGUGGGAAAGGAUGUGGAAAUCCCAAAACAACCAGGAGGUUGGCUUAGAAGCAGCCAUCCUUUAAAGAAAGCGUAACAGCUCACUGGUCUAAACAAGGAUUCCUGCGCCGAAAAUGUAACGGGGCUCAAGCCACGAGCCGAAGCUUUGGGUGUGUCAUUCCUUCGGGAUUGAUACGCGGUAGCGGAACGUUCUGUAAGCCUGUGAAGGGAGACCCGUGAGGGCUCCUGGAGGUAUCAGAAGUGCGAAUGCUGGCACGAGUAACGAAAAGGAGUGUGAAAGACACUCCCGCCGAAAGUCCAAGGGUUCCUGCGUAAAGCUAAUCUGCGCAGGGUUAGCCGGUCCCUAAGGCGAGGCCGAAAGGCGUAGUCGAUGGGAAUGCAGUCAAUAUUCUGCAGCCAGUGGGUAGUGACGAAUUCCGUAUGUUGUCUCCGGUUAUUGGAUUCUGGAGGCUGCGAAGGAGUUCCAGGAAAUAGCUCCCACAUAGACCGUACCCGAAACCGACACAGGUGGACUGGUAGAGAAUACCAAGGCGCUUGAGCGAACUAUGUUGAAGGAACUCGGCAAUUUACCUCCGUAACUUCGGGAUAAGGAGGACCCUUUGUUGGGCAACCAGCUAAGGGUGGCACAGACCAGGGGGUGGCGACUGUUUAACAAAAACACAGGGCUCUGCGAACUCGGAAGAGGACGUAUAGGGUCUGACGCCUGCCCGGUGCCGGAAGGUUAAGAGGAGGGGUGCAAGCCUUGAAUCGAAGCCCCGGUAAACGGCGGCCGUAACUAUAACGGUCCUAAGGUAGCGAAAUUCCUUGUCGGGU